rnacentral:tRNA from 1 species
GAGUUAUUUUUAUUAAGUUUUGAAAACUUUUUUUGGAUUUUUUAAUCUGUAACUUU